rnacentral:rRNA from 1 species
GAUGAACGCUGGCGGCGUGCCUAAUACAUGCAAGUCGAGCGAACAGACGAGGAGCUUGCUCCUUCGACGUUAGCGGCGGACGGGUGAGUAACACGUAGGUAACCUACCUAUAAGACUGGGAUAACUUCGGGAAACCGGAGCUAAUACCGGAUAAUAUUUCGAACCGCAUGGUUCGAUAGUGAAAGAUGGCUUUGCUAUCACUUAUAGAUGGACCUGCGCCGUAUUAGCUAGUUGGUAAGGUAACGGCUUACCAAGGCGACGAUACGUAGCCGACCUGAGAGGGUGAUCGGCCACACUGGAACUGAGACACGGUCCAGACUCCUACGGGAGGCAGCAGUAGGGAAUCUUCCGCAAUGGGCGAAAGCCUGACGGAGCAACGCCGCGUGAGUGAUGAAGGUCUUCGGGUCGUAAAACUCUGUUAUUAGGGAAGAACAAACGUGUAAGUAACUGUGCACGUCUUGACGGUACCUAAUCAGAAAGCCACGGCUAACUACGUG